AGCCUGAUGCAGCGACGCCGCGUGAGGGAUGACGGCCUUCGGGUUGUAAACCUUACUCAGCAGGGAAGAAGCGAAAGUGACGGUACCUGCAGAAGAAGCGCCGGCUAACUACGUGCCAGCAGCCGCGGUAAUACGUAGGGCGCAAGCGUUGUCCGGAAUUAUUGGGCGUAAAGAGCUCGUAGGCGGCUUGUCACGUCGGGUGUGAAAGCCCGGGGCUUAACCCCGGGUCUGCAUCCGAUACGGGCAGGCUAGAGUGUGGUAGGGGAGAUCGGAAUUCCUGGUGUAGCGGUGAAAUGCGCAGAUAUCAGGAGGAACACCGGUGGCGAAGGCGGAUCUCUGGGCCAUUACUGACGCUGAGGAGCGAAAGCGUGGGGAGCGAACAGGAUUAGAUACCCUGGUAGUCCACGCCGUAAACGUUGGGAACUAGGUGUUGGCGACAUUCCACGUCGUCGGUGCCGCAGCUAACGCAUUAAGUUCCCCGCCUGGGGAGUACGGCCGCAAGGCUAAAACUCAA
rnacentral:rRNA from 1 species